AUUGAACGCUGGCGGCAUGCCUUACACAUGCAAGUCGAACGGUAACAGGUCUUCGGAUGCUGACGAGUGGCGAACGGGUGAGUAAUACAUCGGAACGUGCCUAGUAGUGGGGGAUAACUACUCGAAAGAGUGGCUAAUACCGCAUGAGAUCUACGGAUGAAAGCAGGGGAUCGCAAGACCUUGUGCUACUAGAGCGGCCGAUGGCAGAUUAGGUAGGUGGUGGGAUAAAAGAUUACCAAGCCGACGAUCUGUAGCUGGUGUGAGGACGAUCAGCCACACUGGGACUGAGACACGGACCAGACUCCUACGGGAGGCAGCAGUGGGGAAUUUUGGACAAUGGGCGCAAGCCUGAUCCAGCAAUGCCGCGUGCAGGAUGAAGGCCUUCGGGUUGUAAACUGCUUUUGUACGGAACGAAAAGCCCUGGGUUAAUACCCUGGGGUCAUGACGGUACCGUAAGAAUAAGCACCGGCUAACUACGUGCCAGCAGCCGCAGUAAAAC
rnacentral:rRNA from 1 species